ensembl:snoRNA
GGUGAAGAUAACUUUAGGUGGCUCUGAGUGUCUCACUGACACCAUCACUGCAGCAUGCUGACC